rnacentral:lncRNA from 1 species
GAAAAAAAAGUAUAAUCCUGGCUGCAGCUAAAUGUUCAAGCUCCAGUCGUAAGGCUGAUACGAGACCUUCAGUUGAGUGUUUGCAAGCAGCUCCAAGAAUUGCUCCGAUGCUGCAGGCUCGAGAUAAUUUGCUGCAUGCUUCAGCACUUCUGUCUCAUUCUUACCAAAGUCUGUGUUGUACCUGGAAACAAUCCAGAACAUGAGUUUUUGAGCUGCAUCUCAUUUUACCAGGAUCUGUGUACUUGUACCUUACAAUCAUUUGGAGCAUGGGUUUCCAAGCUUAAGAUAUUGAAAGCAUUGCCAUAUUGUAAUGAGAUUUUACAUUAUAAAGUGAUACUCAUCUUCUCAAUUAUUUGCUACUGUUAUGAUUUUAUCACAGUGCAUAUCAGGUAAAAUUAACCAAGUUAAUAUUUGGGCAUGCACUCUAGUUAUAUAACUGUAUAACAAAUGUAUGAUCAUCUGCAAUUCUGUCAUGUAGUAACACGGUAACGCAUUUGUUAUUAUCUCACACAGGAUAAAUGGUCAUCACAUCAUCAAUGUACUCAUUAAAACCACAUUCCCUUAAUUUGUUUGGCAUUGUGCCGUUCAACUUGUAUUUCUAGCGACCGGACUAAAUGCGGCAUAACCACCUGCACAUGCCAUCAUGGCCUUCAAAUUAUUGGAUAAAGCGUUCUCAAUAAGUAUGUCUUAGUUAUUCUUCAUUAGUUAUAUAACCCUAACAGGGCAAAGCACACAGUUCAUAUCCAUAAAAAUUAGCAGCAUCCUGCUAUAUUCAGUUGAAAUACACGCAAAGUAAUCAUAAGGCCACAUGAGUGUUAAUGCACGACGUGGCUAAGGGCCAGUUCUUUGGGCAAAGCACACAGUUCUAGAAUAAGCUGGAAUAAGCUACCCCCUACCCAGCUUAUUCUAGAAGCCCAAUCAAAUUUAUUUUUUUAGAAGUCUACUAAUUAAGACUUGACUAGUAGGCUUCUAAAAAAAAAUAUUUUUGGUUGGGCUUCUAGAAUAAGCUGCCCCCUACCCAGCUUAUUCUAGAAGCUCAAAAAAGCCACCAAAAGAACUGGCCCUAAAUGGGGUUGAUCAACUAUUGUGACACAUAUUUGGAUAGGAGUAUUAGCGUUACUUUGGGCUAUAUGGCAAAAAUGAUAUGGUCUUUAACAAAUAAACUAAGAUUAAUUUUUUGCAGGUAAUCUACAAGGCCACUACUUGGAUCCGUAUGUGGUCAUUACUCACUCCUGCGGAAGCCAGCAUUUGGUUACUGGGUCUACCCAAUGGGAGAUGGUAGCUCGGAAUAUCUACAACCGGUUUGAAUGACGGUGCAGUAAUAGGCUAGGUGUUUAGUCAUCUCGUCCUAUUUCUGCCGGUUGUGGCAUUUUACAUCUUUAUGUUUUCAUUUGUUUUCAUUUUAGUUCGGACAGAAUUUGUACUUGACCACAAAGAUUGUUGGAUCUUUUGCUUAAUAUAAUAUGGCUGCAGCAUCAUUCUGAUGCAGAGGCCGGGGGAUAUCCUCCUUAUCCAAAAAAA